rnacentral:rRNA from 1 species
AACGAACGCUGGCGGCAGGCUUAACACAUGCCAGUCGAGCGAGACCUUCGGGUCUAGCGGCGGACGGGUGAGUAACGCGUGGGAACGUGCCCUUCUCUACGGAAUAGCCCCGGGAAACUGGGAGUAAUACCGUAUACGCCCUUUGGGGAAAAGAUUUAUCGGAGAAGGAUCGGCCCGCGUUGGAUUAGGUAGUUGGUGGGGUAAUGGCCCACCAAGCCGACGAUCCAUAGCUGGUUUGAGAGGAUGAUCAGCCACACUGGGACUGAGACACGGCCCAGACUCCUACGGGAGGCAGCAGUGGGGAAUCUUAGACAAUGGGGGCAACCCUGAUCUAGCCAUGCCGCGUGAGUGAUGAAGGCCUUAGGGUUGUAAAGCUCUUUCAGCUGGGAAGAUAAUGACGGUACCAGCAGAAGAAGCCCCGGCUAACUCCGUG